GACGAACGCUGGCGGCGUGCCUAAUACAUGCAAGUUGAGCGCUGAAGGUUGGUACUUGUUCCAACUGGAUGAGCAGCGAACGGGUGAGUAACGCGUGGGUAAUCUGCCUUUGAGCGGGGGACAACAUUUGGAAACGACUGCUAAUACCGCAUAAAAACUUUAAACACAUGUUUUAAGUUUGAAAGAUGCUAUUGCAUCCCUCAAUGAUGAUCCCGCGUUGUAUUAGCUUGUUGGUGAGGUAAAGGCUCACCAAGGCGAUGGUACAUAGCCGACCUGAAAUGGGGAUAGGCCACAUUGGGAAUGGGACACGGCCCAAACUCCUACGGGAGGAAGCAGAAGGGAAUCUUAGGCAAUGGACGAAAGUCUGAACGAGCAACGCCGCGGGAGUGAAGAAGGUUUUCGGAUCGGAAAACUCUGUUGGUAGAGAAGAACGUUGGGGAGAGUGGAAAGCUCAUCAAGUGACGGUAACUACCCAGAAAGGGACGGCUAACUACGUG
rnacentral:rRNA from 1 species